CAGAGUUCCCCGAGCUCGUUUUCAGGUCUUCUGAUUGAAAUUUUAUAAAAUAUACUCUGAGAGGAACAAAAAUAUUCAUCAAAUCACCUGUUGGAACAAACAUUAAACUCCACAAGGUGGACGCAAUCAUUAAAGAAUUGUAGGGAAGAUAUUAAUAAUUGUCAAACCAUACACAAAUUAAAAGCACUUAUGAAGGUGAUAUAAUUAAUGAGUAUGAAGAAACAAUGACAAAAUCAUACAUACACUGAAAACCCACACAGAAAAGGUAAUCAUUAAAAAAAAAAACAUGUCUGAAAAAAUUACAUUCGAGUUUUAUUUUAAAAAGUAUAUUUAUUUUAUGUAAUUCAUGUCAUGGUUCUGCUCUGCUCCUUCACCCCUCCCUUCCUUCCUCCACUCUAAUCUCACUCACCUGUGCUGAUUAAGCUCUCAUUGUGCUACAGCUGGUGUUCACUCUAUUUAAGGUCCUCAGUUCCACUUCCACCCUGCCAGUUCGUUGAAUCAGUCACGUUCCAGCUAGUAAUAAUCCUUGCACCUCUAGUCUUUUCAUGUUUUUGACCCUUUUCUGGCCUGGUAACGAGUUUAAGCCUGUCCCCUUUCUGGAGUUUUUCUGCCCUGGUUUUUCCUCCUCUGUUUCCAUCCUGAAGAGGCGUGACGUUUCCAGACCCCUCAUCUCAACACGGAGUAAAGCUGCUCCAACACUGGUCUUCACCCUCCGGUGGAUUCUCAUCCGGUACACAGCAGCAGUGGGGGGAAAUCUUCCAUCAUUCCUGACACCAUCCGCCCUGCACUCGGACGCUUCAAAGACUCUUCUCUCACGUCUGCUUCUGGAGUUCUACGCUCACCUGUGCAUCUGGCGGCCCACUGGUUAAUUCUACCUCCCUAAUAAACACUUUAAUUGUGA